rnacentral:rRNA from 1 species
UGGGGAAUAUUGCACAAUGGGGGAAACCCUGAUGCAGCGACGCCGCGUGAGCGAAGAAGGCUUUCGGGUUGUAAACUUCUUUUCUCAGGGACGAAGCAAGUGACGGUACCUGAGGAAUAAGCCACGGCUAACUACGUGCCAGCAGCCGCGGUAAUACGUAUGGUGCAAGCGUUAUCCGGAUUUACUGGGUGUAAAGGGAGCGUAGACGGUUGUGUAAGUCUGAUGUGAAAGCCCGGGGCUCAACCCCGGGACUGGAUUGGAAACUAUGUAACUAGAGUGUCGGAGAGGUAAGCGGAAUUCCUAGUGUAGCGGUGAAAUGCAUAGAUAUUAGGAGGAACACCAGUGGCGAAGGCGGCUUACUGGACGAUCACUGACGUUGAGGCUCGAAAGCGUGGGGAGC